ACCAGACCACGCGGGAGCGCGCGUCGAGUGCGCUGAGAGGACGGCUGGGGCGCCGUCGACCGUACGAACCUGACCGGGUAAUGCCGGCGUAGGGAGAUGAGAUGACCGAGUU
rnacentral:ncRNA from 2 species